rnacentral:rRNA from 1 species
GACGAACGCUGGCGGCGUGCUUAACACAUGCAAGUCGAACGGAAAGGCCCUGCUUGCCGGGUACUCGAGUGGCGAACGGGUGAGUAACACGUGGGUGAUCUGCCCUGCACUUCGGGAUAAGCCUGGGAAACUGGGUCUAAUACCGGAUAGGAGCCAUUUUUAGUGUGAUGGUUGGAAAGUUUUUUCGGUGUAGGAUGAGCUCGCGGCCUAUCAGCUUGUUGGUGGGGUAAUGGCCUACCAAGGCGGCGACGGGUAGCCGGCCUGAGAGGGUGGACGGCCACAGUGGGACUGAGACACGGCCCAGACGCCUACGGGAGGCAGCGGUGGGGAAUAUUGCACAAUGGGCGCAAGCCGGAUGCAGCGACGCCGCGUGGGGGAUGACGGCCUUCGGGUUGUAAACUCCUUUCGCUAGGGACGAAGCUUUUUGUGACGGUACCUAGAUAAGAAGCACCGGCUAACUACGUG